CAGGGAAUCUUGCGCAAUGGGCGAAAGCCUGACGCAGCAACGCCGCGGGGGGGAUGAAGGCCUUCGGGUUGUAAACCCCUUUCAGGAGGGAAGAAAUUGACGGUACCUCCAAAAGAAGCACCGGCCAACUACGUGC
rnacentral:rRNA from 1 species